rnacentral:rRNA from 1 species
GUUGUCGUCAGCUCGUGUCGUGAGAUGUUGGGUUAAGUCCCGUAACGAGCGCAACCCUUGUCCUUAGUUACCAGCACGUUAUGGUGGGCACUCUAAGGAGACUGCCGGUGACAAACCGGAGGAAGGUGGGGAUGACGUCAAGUCAUCAUGGCCCUUACGGCCUGGGCUACACACGUGCUACAAUGGUACGGUACAAAGGGUUGCCAAGCCGCGAGGUGGAGCUAAUCCCAUAAAACCGAUCGUAGUCCGGAUCGCAGUCUGCAACUCGACUGCGUGAAGUCGGAAUCGCUAGUAAUCGUGAAUCAGAAUGUCACGGUGAAUACGUUCCCGGGCCUU